rnacentral:rRNA from 2 species
AAUGACUCUCGGCAACGGAUAUCUCGGCUCUCGCAUCGAUGAAGAACGUAGCGAAAUGUGAUACUUGGUGUGAAUUGCAGAAUCCCGUGAACCAUCGAGUCUUUGAACGCAAGUUGCGCCCGAAGCCAUCAGGUCGAGGGCACGUCUGCCUGGGCGUCACACG